GAUGUUGGUCCUAAGAGCCAGGGGUGAAGAGGGGCUGGCUCUCUGUCCCCUCGUCGCGGGGGUUGCUUCCCCCCCUGCGAUGGAGGUCCCAAGAGCCAAGGGGGGAAGAGGGGCUGGCUCUCAGUCCCUGCCUCGCGGGGGUGCCUCCCGCCCUGGGAUGGGGAUCCAAAGAGCCAGGGGGGUAAAAAGGGCUGGCUCUCAGUCCCCGCCUCACAGAGGGUGCCUCCCCCCCCCGCGAUGGGAGUCCCAAGAAUCAGGGGGCGAAGAGAGGCUGGCUCUCAGCCACCACAAAAUGGGGGGCCUUUAUGUUCAGGUUUUGCCCAAGAGUCAGCUCAUUUGCUUCUUGUACUAGCAGGGGAGUUGCUGCCAAGGCCCUCAAACAGGGGGGCCAUCCUUUAGAAACCCUGUCUAGUUGUUCAGAGACAUAGGCCACCGGCCUCAUCCAAGGCCCCACAGUUUGGGUUAAAAGUCCACCUGCCAUCUUUUCUCUCUCUGACGCAUACAAUGGAAAAGGUUUUGUCAGAUCGGGUAACCCCAGGGCUGAAGCUGCCAGAAGUUUUUCCUUUAACUCAUGAAAGACUUGCUGUUGUUAGGAUCCCCAUUCCAAAGGUUCCCGGUCCCCGCCCCCUUUGUGACCUCAUACAAAGGCUUGGCUUAUAUUGCAAAGUUUGGGAUCCACAGUCUACAAAACCCCACAGCUCCUGAGAAUUCUCUCGCCUGCCUUUGGCCCUUAGGCUCUGGUAGAUUGCAAAUAACAUGCUUUCUUUCUGUUCCCGGGUGGCUUCGGACCCCUGUCGGAUCGGAAAUCCCAAGGAGGCGUCGGACCCCGUCCGAUAGUAAAUCCCAAGUAAGGUACCUGCCGUCGGCAGAUUUGAGCUUUCUGCCUGGACACCUAAUACCCACAGUCCUCCAGGUGGGUCCUAAGGUUCUUAGGAUCCACGAUGGGUGUCCUAAGCCAGCGGGGGAAGAGUGGCUGGCUCUCAGUCCCCACCUCGCGGGUGGUGCCUCCCGCCUCUGAGAUGGUGGUCCUAAGAGCCAGGUGGUGAAGAGGGGCUGGAACUCAGUCCCCGCCUCGUGGGGGCUGCCUCGCCCCGCUGCCAUGGGUUUCCGAAGAGCCAGGGGUGGAAGACGGGCUGGCUCUCAGUCCCCGCCUCGCGGGGGUGCCCUCCCCAGGUGCGAUGGGGGUCCUAAGAGCCAGGGGGUGAAGAAGGGCUGUCUCUCUGUCCCCUCGUUGCAGGGUUUGCAUCCCCCCUCUUGAGAUGGCCGUCCCAAGAGCCAAGGGGGGAAAGGGGCUGGCUCUCAGUCCCCGCUUCGCGGGGGUGCCUCCCCCACUGCGAUGGGGGUCCCAAGAUUCGGGGGGGAAGAGGGCCUGGCUGUCAGUACCCGCCUCGCGGGGGGUGCCUUCCCACCCUGCGAUGGGGGUCCCAAGUGUCAGGGGGGGAAUACGGGCUGGCUCUCAAUCCUCGGCUCGCGGGGGCUGCCUCCCCCUACUGCGAUGGGGGUCCUAAGAGCCAGGGGGGAAGAGGGGCUGGUUCUCAGUCCCUGCCUCAUGGGCGGUGCCUCCCGCUCUGCGAUGGGGGUCCUAAGAGCCAGCGGGGGAAGAGGUGCUGGCUCUCAGUUCCUGCCUGGCGGGGGGUGCCUCCCCCCCUCUGCGGUGGGUGUCCUAAGAGCCAGGGGGGGAAGAGGGGCUGGCUGUCAGUCCCCGCCUCGCGGGGUGUGCCUCCCGCCCCUGCGAUGGUGAUCCCAAGAGUCUGGGGGGGAAGAGGGGGCUGUCAGUCCCCGCCUCGCGGGGGUGCCUCCCUCAGGUGCGAUGUGGGUCCUAAGAGCCAGGGGUGAAGAGGGGCUGGCUCUCUGUCCUCUCGUCGCGGGGGUUGCAUCCCCCCCUGCGAUGGGGUUCCCAAGAACCAAGGGGGGAUGAGGGGCUGGCUCUCAGUCCCCGCCUCGUGGGGGUGCCUCCCCCCCUGGGAUGGGGGUCCCAAGAGCCAGGGGGGGAAGAGGGGCUGGCUCUCAGUCCCCGCCUCGCGGAGGGUGCCUCCCCCCCAACGCGAUGGGGGUCCCAAGAGCCAGUGGGGGAAGAGGGGCUGGCUCUCAGCCACCACAAAACGGGGGGCCUUUAUGUUCAGGUUUUGCCCAAGAGUCAGCUUAUUUUCUUCUUGUACUAGCAGGGCAGUUGCUGCCAAGGCCCCCAAACAGGGUGCCAUCCUUUAGAAACCCUGUCUAGUUGUUUAGAGACGUAGGCCACCGGCCUCUUCCAGGGCCCCACAGUUUGGGUUAAAAGUCCACCCGCCAUCUUGUCUCUCUCUGACGUGUACAAUCUAAAAGGCUUUGUCAGAUUGGGUAGCCCCAGGGCUGAAGCUGCCAGAAGUUUUUCCUUUAACUCAUGAAAGACUUGCUGUUGUUGGGAUCCCCAUUCCAAAGGUUCCCGGUCCCCGCCCCCUUUGUGACCUCAUACAAAGGCUUGGCUUAUACUGCAAAGUUUGGGAUCCACAGUCUACAAAACCCCACAGCUCCUGAGAAUUCUCUCGCCUGCUUUCGACCCUUAGGCUCUGGUAGAUUGCAAAUAACCUGCUUUCUUUCUGUUCCCGGGCGGCGUGGGACCCCUGUCGGAUAGUCAAUCCCAAUUAAGGUACCCGCCGUCGGCAGAUUUGAGCUUUCUUCUUGGACACCUAAUACCCACAGUCCUCCAGGCUCUGGUAGAUUGCAAAUGACCUGCUUACUUUCUGUUCCCGGGCUGCGUUCUGACACCUGUUGGACAGUAAAUCCCAAGUAAGGUACCUGCCUUCGGCAGAUUUGAGCUUUCUUCUUGGACACCUAUACCCACAGUCCUCCAGGAGGGUCCUAAGGAUAACUUCAGGAAGUGGGUAUUAAUUCUCACUGUAUAAGUGAAGACAUUAAGCACCAGAGUUUAAGUAGCUUGAUCCACUGAAAGAGAUUCAACUGUGUGGAACCUAUGCCGCGGAGAAUUGCUUUCUGCCAUUGUUAUUGUCCAGCAGUUGCCGAAUAGCUCUGACCUGAGCAAAGCAGUGAAACGCGGUGCUGUUGAGUGGGUUGCCACUGCACCUUUUUCAACUACUCUAGUCUUGUGGAGAAAACACCCCUUCUAAAUUUUUUCUUCAUUGAAUACUCUCCCUCAGCUCCAGGGUACCAUAUAGAGUUUUCUUGUAUUUUAGAGUUACUGUUUUAUCAAAGUGUACCAGUCUUUUGUAUUACAUUUCUCCUGUCU
rnacentral:lncRNA from 1 species